GGGCCUACUUUCUCAACUGUUAAGAGCAUUGGCAGUAACACUGCCAGGGUUAUGGGUUCGAUUCCCACUGGGCCCA